AUAAACAAGAACCUCUUAACCCUGUUGGUUCAUUUCUUUCUUUCUUUGUUUUUUUUUUUUUUCCUCAUCGCCAACUACAAAUCGCAACCUUCAUUCUCAUUAAUGAGAGAAAGAAGCGAUCACAUGCUUUUGUAGGGAUUUUUCUAAUUUCUUCAUGAAAGCCAUAUGUUCCCAACCAAUCAACUGAGGGCCGCAAGAGGCCAUUCAAGGAACAUACCGUGUUUGGUCAUCAAACAAAUAAGGUCAUGAUGGCAAACAUGGACGAGUUUUCUUCUUUCUUUCUUCACUUAAUUUGACAUAGUGGCUGCUCAAUGUCUCUGGACCACCCUUUGUCUUUGUUGUCAGUAGUCACCGACCAGUGCUCCAUUCGGCUGUAAUCCAACUAUAUGUGUGUGCCUUAGGCCAAGGUAACUCACCAAGUGGGUUUGAUUAGGACCCAAACCAAACAGCUUCAGAAUCCCAACAAAAUUUACGAGGGGUUCCUUGGGGGAAAAAACAGAGACUUGGAUUACAGAUGUUCCAAACUUUUAAAUAUGAAGCAAGAGCCUGAUAGGAUAUACAUGAGAUUGGCCGUUGAGAUAAGUGAGACGUGUCAAGGAAAAGAAGAUAAAUCUCUCUUGCUCAAAACAUUAUCCUAUAAUUUUUUUUUACGUCGGCUCAUCAUUAUUAGUUAGCUGAAAACUGUGUUAAGAUAAAAUAAAUUUAAAAAUCUUGCUCUAAAACAAACAAGCUGGUGUUUGCAGGCUCAAGCAAAUUGUUUAUAACUAAGUGAAGCGUUACAUCAGAUGGAAAAGGACAAAUGUUGGAUAAGGCAGUAAGCAAUUUGCAGGGUUAUUCUGCGCCUUUAGUCACAUAUGAUACGUUAUAAUAAAGAUGUUUAGCGAACAAGUGCCAUUUAGAGACAUGAUUAGGGGGUGAAAAACAAACACUGCUUCGAGCCUUUUUCUGUUGACUUGCCCAAAAGAGUCUUGCAGACUUAGGGGUGGGAGAACGAGAAUUAACCCCAAAAGAAUCUGGGGAUUCUUUACCAAUGAUACAGGCAAUGGCACUCCAUGUCCAUCCCCACCAAAAGAAAGAAAGCGAAACUAGGGCAUUUGAUUGCCAAGUAUUGAUGGUCUCAAAAGCAGUUAAAAAUGGAAACGGAAGCACUGCCUUCGGGUCUCUUUGUUCAUGUUAUCUCGUGGAGAAGAAUAACUUUGCUUCCAGUGAUAGAGCCUCUUUUUUACGAGGGGCCCUCUAAGGUGGAAGCAAUAAGUGGGAAGUUUGGACAAUAUUGUGACUUGUCUUUUCUAGUGUGAUUGUGUCAGAGUAUGCAGUUUGUUUGUGGGUGGCUCAUCUUUUCCCCUUUGAUCUCUGCCAAGUUGGGUUGUUCAAUUUCCUUUUGGCCUUAGCUGUGCCUCUAAUUUGAAGGUGCAUUUUCAACUCUAAAUCCUAAUGUUUCUCCAGUUCAAUGGAUCUCAAAAGACAUGGCCGGUUUGAAUUUUUGAGGAAGACGCACCAAUCUCUUUAUUCAUGUGGUUUAUGGGCGGCAUGCUGAAGAAUGCAAGCUGGAAAAGGGAAGGUGAUGGAAAACCAUGGGAAUUAACGUGAGGCGUUCUUUCUCUGAGAUCUAACAUUGAAGUUGCUGAGAUGAACUGAGAAAAGGAUAUUAUGUUCAACAUACUUGUAGAAGAGGAGAGGUGCAGUUUUCAAGAAUCCAUAUGGCCAAACUUUCAAAGUGGGACAUAUCAGUAUAACAUACUGGGAUGUCUUGGCCCAAAAAUCAAUGAAGAUAUUAUUGUGAGCGGCCCAUUUUGAUGAGUAAAAGAACAAACUAUUAACUCAUUAAGAUAUUACUGAGGUGUAGUUUCUUUAUUAUGCAGUACUUAUUUGUUAUUAUCAUAUUAUUUGACAGAGGUGGAAUCUAUAAAUCGUUUUUAGUUAUUUUUAAAGUGAUGUCUAUGAUGACUAAUAUGUAACUAACAAAUUUUAAAGACGCAAUUAAAGUACGAUCAGCAAAGGUCCUAUGGACCUUGCUGGGCCGGUUCGAUUGA